rnacentral:ncRNA from 1 species
CCGUCCUAGUCUCAACCAUAAACGAUGCCGACCAGGGAUCGGCGGAUGUUGCUUAUAGGACUCCGCCGGCACCUUAUGAGAAAUCAAAGUCUUUGGGUUCCGGGGGCGGUAUGGUCGCAAGGCUGAAACUUAAAGGAAUUGACGGAAGGGCACCACCAGGCGUGGAGCCUGCGGCUUAAUUUGACUCAACACGGGGAAACUUACCAGGUCCAGACAUAGCAAGGAUUGACAGACUGAGAGCUCUUUC